UACGAAGGGGGCGAGCGUUGUUCGGAUUUACUGGGCGUAAAGGGCGCGCAGGCGGCCAUUCAAGUCAGGCGUGAAAGCCCCGGGCUUAACCUGGGAACUGCGUCUGAUACUGGAUGGCUUGAGUGUGGGAGAGGGAUGCGGAAUUCCAGGUGUAGCGGUGAAAUGCGUAGAUAUCUGGAGGAACACCGGUGGCGAAGGCGGCAUCCUGGACCAUUACUGACGCUGAUGAGCGAAAGCCAGGGGAGCAAACGGG
rnacentral:rRNA from 1 species